rnacentral:rRNA from 1 species
ACCUGUUUGAUCCUGCCUUACCUCAUAUGCUUGUCUCAAAGAUUAAUCCUUGCUUGUCUAACCCAAUCGACUUUGACCGGAGAAACUGCCGAUGGCUCAUUAUAUCAGUCAUGAUUUCCAUGAAGAUUACUUUACUCCCUGGAUAACCGUACUAAUUCUCCAGCUAACACGUGCAGUAAAAUCCCGACUCUUGCGGGGAGGGAUGUAUUUAUAUAGAAAAAAACCAAUGCGGGUUCUGCCCGGCUUUGUGGUGAUUCCUAAUAACUGUUCGCCUCACAUGGCCUUGCGCCUGGGAUACCUCAUUCAAAUUGCUGCCCUAUCAGCUUUCCACCGCAGUGUCGAGCACUACCGUGGCAUUGACGGCUGACUGAUAAUUAGGGAUCGAUUCCGGAAAGGGAGACUGAGAAACGGCUACCACAUCCAAGGAAGGCAGCAGGCGCGCAAAUUACCCAAUCCUGACACAGGGAGGUAAUGACAAGAAAUAUCAAUACCGGGCCUUCUUAGGUCUGGUAAUUGGAAUGAGCACGAUUUCACUCCCUCAGCGAGGAUCAACUGGAGG